CUACGGGCCGCACCAGUAGGGAAUAUUGGUUAAUCUGCGAAAGCGGGAACCAGCAACGCCGCGUGCACGAUGACGGCCUUCGGGUUGUAAAGUGCUUUUUGAGAGGAUGAGGAAGGACAGUACUCUUAGAAUAAGCUUCGGCUAACUACGUGCCAGCAGCCGCGGUAAAACGUAGGAAGCGAGCGUUAUCCGGAUUUACUGGGCGUAAAGCGUGUGUAGGCGGUUUGAUAAGUUGGAUGUGAAAGCUCCUGGCUUAACUGGGAGAGGUCGUUCAAAACUAUCAGACUUGAGAGUGGUAGAGGGAGGUGGAAUUCCGGGUGUAGUGGUGAAAUGCGUAGAUAUCCGGAGGAACACCAGUGGCGAAAGCGGCCUCCUGGCCCAUUUCUGACGCUCAGACACGAAAGCUAAGGUAGCAAACGGGAUUAGAUACCCUUGUAGUC
rnacentral:rRNA from 1 species